UUCAUUUGGCUUUCAAUAGAUUAACACUUAAUUUUAAUUAAAAAAUCAGACAGACUUUGAUGCACCACCAUCAUCAUCAUCGCCACCACCAUCCAUAGUCGUUGCCCGUCGUCAGCAAUACAAAUCGAUGAAUGUUGUUGGCUGGCUAUAAUUUUUCGGAAUUAUAAAAAUACCACCAACCAAAUGAAAUACCCCGGACAGGUCAUUUGCAAUAGCAGGAGAAAGAGUUGAGUUGUGUAUAAAAUGCGCAGGCAUAUUUUCAUUCAUUCAUGCUGAGAUGUAUGAGAGUACUAUGAGAUAUACGUCCAUUAAUGAAUGGGCAAGGUUUUCGGGUAAGGGAUGUUUGCUUGCACAUGCGUUUAUGCAAUGCUACACAACUAAGAUGCAAACUUUGUAUUGUGGAUGGUCAGGUUUGUGUUUGUGUCUCGCAAAUUGGGAGUAGUCGGAAAAUUUUCUAUACUGAAAACUAAAAAAAAAACUUAUGACAAAAGACACUUUUCCCCAAAAUACAAAAUAUUUUUGAAAUUUUCUCUUGAGACAAAAUUUCUUUGACUUUAUUCUACAACGAAAUUUCGAAGAUAAAAAAAUCCUAGAUUUUUUCCAAGGGUAUACGCAGUACAAAACGAGAAAUAAAGAUUUAUUAAUGAGGCCAAACUGUAACCUUUUAUUGUUGUGUUUUGUUGCGUGCAAAUAAAUCUCUUCAUUUUGCAAAACUGUUUAAAAUCA